CAAUAGAAGCCAAAAUCCUCCUUUGACGGGAACUGGAUAAUCCCAAGUGCUGGACUGUCGCCCACAGAUUCUCCGCUGCUGGUCAUGAGGGGAAAAGUGCUCAACAUACUAUACAGGCAGCUUACCCAACCCCUCUGUCCCCAGGAGCUGGGAGCAGGGAGAAAUAGUGAGGAGGUUUUCAUGGUCAAAUGUAUUUAGGAGACUUAUUUGAAUCAGGCAAUUACUUAAUUUCUGCAGCUCUUCUGAGAGCCUUUACUAAGCUAUGUGAAUUGUGAUACCGCAAGAGGAACUCUCACCAUGUAGCAUUUCCCAAAUUUUUAUUGAGACAGAGUCUCACUCUGUCACCCAGGAUGGAGUGCAAUAGCGUGAUCUCAGCUCACUGCAAUCUGCUUCCCAGGUUCAAGUGAUUGUCAUGCCUCAGCCUCCCAAGUAGCUGGGAUUACAGGCCUGUGCCACUAUGCUCAGCUACUUUUUGUAUUUUUAGUAGAGACAGGGUUUCACCAUGUUGGCUGGUCUGGUCUCGAACUCCUGGUCUCAAGUGAUCCACCUGUCUCGGCUUCCCAAAGUGCUGGGAUUAGAGACGUGAGCCACUGCGCCUGGUCCUCCCAAACUUCUUUGAACAUAGAGCCCGUUUGGAAGGUGGAUUUGUGGGACUAAGCCUCCCAGGGGCUCCGGUGGCUGUACGCCCUGAUGGCUGUGCACCCCGACCGCUGUGCACCACGACAGCUUCCAUGCCUUCCAAGCUGGGGGGUGCCAUGGGAGGGCUCAGAGCCUCACCCCAGGCUGGAUGAGCUCGACUGCUUUGUAGCUGCCUGUAUGUGGCAAGUAACUAACACUCCCUAGGCCUCAAUUUUUUAAUCUAUAAAAUGAAAGCAGUAAAUGUCACAUCAUAUAAGUUGUUGAGUAUUUAUGAGAAUUAAAAGGAAUAAUCGCCAUAAAAGGCCUGAUACUGCCAAUCAUAUAUUGGACAAAUAUGAAUUUCCCUUUUUCCCUUUAUUCUACUUUAUGGCAACUCCUACCUACUAUUCUCUUUCUUUUGCUACUAAGCAGACAUAUGGGUUUGUUUGUUUGUUUUAUCAGGGAGAGGUUCUAAAUGUUGUACCCUUUAACCCUCAAAGCAUUAUCUAUUCUCUUAGAGGGUAAAGGGCAGAGAUGUUAUCCCUAUUGGUUUCUAACCUUGGAGAAGGUCAGAAACGUCAUGAGCUCUCUCUAGAUCCUCUUAUCUGCUUCUCUUACACAAUCGUUUGGUUCUGUGUGUGGUGAAAACUGAAUUGGGGGAAAAUCAGAUCGGCAGAAACCAAAUGUUGAACCAACUGGUGAAUAGAGAAAUACAGAUUAAGUAUCCCUACAAUGGAAUAUUAUUCAGCAAUAGAAAGAAAUGAAGUAUGGACCCAUGCAUGGAAGGAUGCAGGGGUGUUUCCUACAGCAUAGAAGGACCUUGAAAACACAGGGCUAAGUGAGAGGAGCCGGACAGGAAGGAUCAUGUAUUGUGUGGUCUGCUCAUGUAUGAUCUGCUCACAUAUUGUAUGAUCUGCUUACAUGAAAUGCCCAAGGUAGGCAAAUCCAGAGUCAGGAAAUAGGUCGGUGGUUGCCAGGGACAGGGACUUUUGGGGGAAAAUAGAGAGUGGCUGUUAACAGGGACCUGCUUUCUUCUAGGGUGAUGAAAAUGGUCUAACAUUGAUUGUAGUGAGGGUUGUGCAGCUCUGUGAAUAUGCUAAAGAACCAUCGAAUUGGACACUUUAAAUGGGUGCAAAUUAUAUUCCAAUAAACUAUCUGUAGAAACUU
rnacentral:lncRNA from 10 species